rnacentral:rRNA from 1 species
GACGAACGCUGGCGGCGCGCUUAACACAUGCAAGUCGAGCGAAGCGGCGGACGGGUGAGUAACACGUGAGUAACCUGCCUUAGACAUUGGGAUAGCCUCGGGAAACCGGGAUUAAUACCAAAUGGUCUAAGAUGGACUCGCGUCCCAUUAGCUAGUUGGUGGGGAACGGCCCACCAAGGCGACGAGGGGUAGCCGGCCGUGGAGGGUGAACGGCCACAUUGGAACGACGCAACGGUCCAAACUCUACGGGAGGCAGCAGGGGUGAAUAUUGCACAAUGGAGUGAGCUCUGAUGCUGCGACGCCGCGUGAACGAAGAAGGCUUUCAAGUCGUAAAGUUCUUUUAUAUGGGAAGCGGUACCAUAAGAAAAAGCCCCGGCUAACUACGUGCCAGCAGCCGCGGUAAUAC